GAGAAGCUUCAGCUCCAAGAGUGUCCUGCAAGUCUUUAGCAUACUAAGAAGUCUUUGUCUCCAAGUGAUGAGCCGCAAGUCUCCAUACCUCCAACAAAGCCCUUGAUUGAUGGUGGUGAGAAGAAGAAUAAGAGAAAGAUUUUAUAAAGAUUGUAACCCCCGUACAAAUCUUUGAAACAAAAUACUAUUCUUUGUCUCUAUUUUUUUGGCUUGAUUAUUAUUUCUCAUGAACGAAAACUUAGUCGUUACAAUAGAUCUUGUAGGCUAUGCUUGGAGAAUUUGGAACGAAAGGAAUGGCAUAGAACUACUGGAUCCAAUGAUAGAAAAACCACGUGAUUGGAAUGAAGUUUUAGGAUGCGUCCUUGUUGGACUCUUGUGUUAUCAACGUCGUGCCCAAGACAAAACCUUCAUGGUUCAGGCGGUUUGCCUUCCGGAGAGCGGAAUGUCAAGGUUGAAUUUUGUGCCCCUGAAACCUUAAUUCUCUGAGCAUGAUUACGAUCAUUUGGUUGAACAAAUGAUCGGUGAAGAACUCGCUCUCCGAGUAGUUGUGACAAAUGCAGAGCUGUUGGUUUUCACAUCCACAGGAGUCGCGAAAGUGUGAAUGGGCUAACUAUUACUAAAUUGACUUGAAGAUCAUGACCUAAUACCAAGAAACUAGUAUACAGAGAAAAACGUAGUAAAUUAUAGUAGGUCUGAAGGUCUUUUUAUUUUUCCCCUUUUACUACUACAAUUUGAAAGAAUGAACGUGGCAUUCCUACUGGCAAACAACCCAUAAGGCUUAAGCUGAGCUUCCUAUAUUUGGAACUUGCAAGUGGGAAUUCCAGGACUAUCAUUGUUGCUAGGAAAACAAUCAUAUAUCACUGAGUAUGUUGUUGUUGUUGA